rnacentral:rRNA from 1 species
AACGAACGCUGGCGGCAUGCCUAACACAUGCAAGUCGAACGAGACCUUCGGGUCUAGUGGCGCACGGGUGCGUAACGCGUGGGAACCUGCCCUUAGGUUCGGAAUAACGCCCCGAAAGGGGUGCUAAUACCGGAUAAUGUCUUCGGACCAAAGAUUUAUCGCCUUUGGAUGGGCCCGCGUUGGAUUAGCUAGUUGGUAGGGUAAAAGCCUACCAAGGCGACGAUCCAUAGCUGGUCUGAGAGGAUGAUCAGCCACACUGGGACUGAGACACGGCCCAGACUACUACGGGAGGCAGCAGUGGGGAAUAUUGGACAAUGGGCGAAAGCCUGAUCCAGCAAUGCCGCGUGAGUGAUGAAGGCCUUAGGGUUGUAAAGCUCUUUUACCCGGGAUGAUAAUGACAUUACCGGGAGAAUAAGCUCCGGCUAACUCCGUG